UUAAAAAUAUUGUGGUUUGGGUCUGUCAGACAACCCCAGAAUCACCCCAUCUGGUCUGAGGACCAGCUGAGAACGAUCCUCUGCGGCCUCAAUCGUACGAUCUUAGCCAUUAAUCACGCUCUGAUUCUGAGGUCUUGUGUCAUCAACCAGAUUAUGUUGCCUGUCUGCUUCGUACUCGAAGUAACAGUUGUACGAGCCUAUAGAACAGAUCCUGUUCAAGUAAGGUCGUAUCCGCUGUUCUCGCUGGGCUUCUAAUGAAUUGUUUGUAUCUUUCAUAAAUAAACGAUGUGGGACUUUAGGUAACAAAGCGGAUAUGAUCAACGGCCGUGAUCUUCUGGGUUGGAAUAGAUGAUGAUGUUCGAACCGUUCUCUCCUUCCUUUCUUUUCCUAGACUCCUUGUUCGUGUCCGAGACGGUCUCCGAAUCCAUCCAAAAGCUCACUAUAUAAGUUAGAAGCAGAAGCAGAGAAAUCAACAAGCAAGAAGAUAUGGAGUUCAGGAAUAAGGAGAAGAGCAUCGCAAAGUUGGAGGCAGAAGCAAAGCUCGAACAGCAACAAGUGAAACCAAGCACAGUCGUCGACGACGUUGGGUUUCGCACGCCGACAUCAUCGUCGCACAGGAUUCCGUCGUCUUCCACUUGUCCGCCGGCGCCCAGGAAGCCUCCGCCGCGCUCGACGAGGGUGUGCAGCAAUCCAGCUGAAGGCCGACGCAGUGCUAAGCUUUCCCUUCGAUUUGACGACUCCACCCUCGGCCUCGACGCCUUCACCCCGGUGGCCAAGCAGCCGCGAGCAGGAGACGACGCCGCCAUUGUCAACUGACCCUCUGCUCUUGGCGCCACAGCACAUAAGAUUCUUACAGCUAAACAAAUUUCCUAGUGAUUGUUUUCUUUCUUUUCUUUUCUAUUUUGUUUGAUCGGAUUACAUGUAAUCCGAUUAUUGGAUUUGAAUAAACACAUCUGAAAGUUUCGGUUUUGCAUGGAUUUAUGUAUACCGAUCUUAAUUACAAGGAACAAACAAGAAAAAUCACUAAGGAUAUCAAACGAUGAGAUACAAGCACAGAGCAAUAACAUCAAUCAAUGUACGAUGUGAUUGCUUUAGGAAAUAGAAAUAGAUGACAUUGAGUACAGCAUUAGUCAUCCAUCUGACUAAUUGUUUUCCGACAGCUGAAAAAGCACGAUAAUAUGAGUCAAAAUGAUAUUGGAUUACAGGUCAAAUUCAUUCAUGAACUUCCACUAGACUGAUCAGAAACAAACACUGUGUGGGCAUCGCUGAGGCCACCAAAAUAGGAAGUCAGAAAGCAACAAGUAUUCCAGCAUGCAUCCUAAGUCUCUUUGAACUAAUAAUGCCACCUUCAAUCAAGCGAUCUUCUUAACGAUAUCCUGAAUGACUUCAUCCAUGUCGAGCUUCUUCAUGGGUGUGAAUGGCCUUGGCAUAUUCUGCAAGGAAAUGAAGGAGGUGAGCUACUUAUUCUAGUAAAGAUGUCUUUUGGUGCUGAGCAACUUGAUCAGCCUUCAGGCCAUGAAAGAGAAAGCACUUUAACCAGAUUAAUGACCUAUAAAUACACGAGUAAUUUCUCGAAACCCUGCAAUACCACUUCAACCAGAUAAAAGAACUCAUUCGCCACUCUUUCCCUAUCAGCUUGAUUCAUCCAUAAUCACACACAAACUAAGAUCCUUAAUUUAGUAACGACUAGUCAUCAGCAUUUCGAUGAAGAAAGUGUGAAAUAGCUAUCCGAUGCACGUUUGCGUGCAUCCUAAGCAAAGCCUGUGAAAAUGAUGUUGUAACAAGCAACCAAUUUUCUAAAGAUAAUAUAUUAAUGAGACAAGAUUGUACAAGAGUUACCAAUAAUGAAACAAAAAUUUGACCGCUUUCCUCACGUAUCUCGAAGCAUCCCCGUCGUGGCUGCAUAUAUUAUAGAAACCAAAACAACCGAUUAGGUAAAGGAGAAUAGAAUAUGACAGAAUCAUGAAUGGCAGAUAAACAUUAUUCAUUUCUGUUAAUAAGAAGAGAAUAUACUUUUCUUAACCAUGAAAUGUUAUAAAUAAACAUACUGAUUUACUUAUAUAAUACCACCUUGUUUGGGAAUUUGGACAGCAGCACUUAGAGGAGUGAAUGCAUUGUAUUAUAAACAUAGCAAACUUAAUCUGCAUCACAAUUUACCAAGCAUAUGAUGCACGAAACCCCAUAUGCUUAAGAAAGAUAAUCUCAUGCUUGCUAAAAUAGCCUGUGGCAGUAAUGUUAAGGCAUCGUACGAUUUGCAUGCUGACAGACAAAUAGGCGAGUCAGUAGACUUGACUAUUUUCAUAUGCUUUGUAAGGAUUUUAAUGAUUUUAUCAUCUUUAAUUCAUACCAUGAUUUCAUCCUAACCAAUUCUUCAAGCGCUGGUCUAUCAUUUAUGGCCAAAAAUUUAAAAUCAAUUGGACGGUAGGACAUACUAAUAUCCUGUUGUUGUUGAAUGAAGUCCUAUCAUAUGUUCACUAUGCAUCUUAUACUUUUACACUAUCAAAUGACUUCAACAAUUCAACUUGACCGGAGGCUAUAUUUUGGCUGAAUUUGUGGAUCAAAUAAAAAAGAUUCAUGAAAAUGCAGUUUAUAUAUAUGGAUGGACUAACAGGAAAUAAACGUAAAACUUAUAUGUUUACAAUCUCACAUUCGCUUGAAACAGAAACAAGAUGCUUCGAGUGUGCAUUCGACUGCAAUAGGAGUUACCAAUACAUAACUGGACAACAUUACACCAUCACAAACAUGACAACCAUUGGAGAUUCAAAAUUAAUUCACAAUAUAAAGUAUGAACUGAAGAUAAACAGUAACAUGGUUGACUAAAUAUCAAACUGCUUUAUUUUCCUUUUUUGCAACAUAACAUCCAUGAAAAGAUGCUCAUUGUUAAGCUAGUCAACAAGUUUCCAAUCUAGCUUCAUUGCGUGAACCAUUUAAACAAGCAAUGCCCUGGAGAAAAAAGUUCCAACUGCAAGAAGAAAGCAUACCUUCUCAGGAUUAAUUGUAACAACUGUUCCAGGCACAGCACUUUCAAGGCCUUCCUUCACCCUUAUGGCCCUUGUCUUGAAGGAAUUGCAUUGUUUGCUGAAAUCCAAUGAUCAAGAUAUAAUGCCAAAAAAAUCACAGUAAAACCUUCAAAAUAGUAAUAACUAGAAGUCUCAGUUACCAAAACAAAUCAUAGCAGUUGCCCAAGGCACAAGUUAACAUCACCACCUUAAGUAAAAUAAUAUGAAGAGCACACAACACUGUUCCUUAGAAAGCACAUACAGACCCAACAUGGGUGCCAAAGAAAAAACACAGGAAUCAAUAAAUACACAUAAACCUGACUCUGAAUUCCUUAUAUUAUUUAUUUUCACUAAAAGUCAUAAUACAAGAUUUAGGAUCAAAACAAUACAAGAAGCAGAAAUGCAAUUUUACCAUAAUUAAUAACUAACAAAUUUUCGGCAAAAUAUAAAAACUAUGUUCUUUAAUAUGUCUACAUAACUGUUGCAGUGUUCAAAGUUGUAUAUACUAAAUAGGACUGCUUGCAAGGAGUGUGUUCAGAUAUAAUCUAAAACAUGCAAAAGGAAAAGGUGUGCGAGAGAGAGAGAGGAUAUUUACCACAUGGAUUUCUAAAAAUGUUAAAUUGAGAGGAUUGCAAGGAGCAAUUUUUAUGUAAAUGGAUUUCUUGUAAGAUAAUCUCACGGAAAAGAGAGAAAAUGUCAUGGAUUACUAAAAAGGUUCGAAAGAUCCAACGGUUCCAUGCAGAAAGGGAUGUCUAAAACCCUAGUUUCAAUCCAACAAAAAGAGCCAAAAUGCUUCUUUUAAUCGGUUAGAAAGCAGAAAUACCCACCACGCCUCGAUGAUGACGGUCUUGGCGGAGACGUCAGUGUUAGCAGGUGGGGAAGCAUCGGGGGCUCCGUCGGCAUCGGAAGCCUUUUUCUUCGCCUUCGCAUCAUCAGCCUUCACCUUGGCACCGUCCGACUUCUUCGCGUUCCCGUUCAACGAAACUUUGGCCUUCUUGGACGGCUUCUCAGCCGGAGGAUCCGCCCUCUUCCCGGCGGUGGCGCUCCUGGUCUUCCUGGGCGAGAUGGUCGGCGGCGGAGCAGAGCCCUUCGCUUUCCUCUUCGGUGCCAUCACCUUACUCGUUCACCCUCUUUCGCCGUCUCUCUUUGAACGCGGCUUCGGCUCGCUCGCUUUCUUCUACCUCUCUCCUCCACUCGCGGCGUUGUACACGAAGUGUCCCGAUCACAGUGACUCUUUUCCCGCCAUUUUCAUAUCUGGAUGUGGUGACGGCCGGUGAGAGUAAGCCGCUGUCACCAAUAAUACUUGGUCCGUACAACCCAACGACGUGACAAAUUGGCGGCUGAAUUUUAGUGGUCGACAGAAGGGGCCCUCACGUUCUUCUCCAAUAAAAAGCGUGGGUCUAAGCUGAAUGAGUCGGAAUCCCCUGCUGGGCUCAGGUAGGAGAUCCACACCGACCGAUGCGCCACCCAAUUGGCAAUCACAGCCGUCCAUCAGCUCUCUUGAUAGACCACACCCCGGUUUUGUCCCUUCGCCUGUUGCCGCCCCGUCCUCCGUUUCCGCUGCUAGGGUUUCUUCGUCUUCCGAGGCCCAGGUAUGAAGCGAUCCGUUGCCGUGGUCUUUUGUCUCACCCAAAUUAUGGCUUAGUAGCAGCUCCAUCUGGGUCUAGCGAUGGUGCUUCCUCAGUCGAACACCGGUAUCUUCGUUGGGAUCAACAAAGGGCACAUCGUCAGGAAAAGGGAGUUUUCCCCUCCCGACCUUCCAGCAGAAAAGGUGUAUGACUGUGAAAUCCCUGAGCAUGGAUUCUUGUUUAAUUCUUUAGUUGGAAAUUGGGGGAAUAUAUAUUUGUUUUCUAUUUUACAAGAUGGGAUGAUUGUUUGCACACAAGAGAUUGAUUUAUGAUUAGAUCAAAUGACUACUUUUAGAUGGAGACAUGGAGCGGCCGCUGAUUGACUUUGUGAGUUUACUGUGACGAGUUGGAUGGUAUGUUUAAAUGCAAGCUAUUAACCACACUUUGAGGCAAAAGAUCCCCGACCUCAAAUCGCCGAGACUUUCGGCUUUGUUAUUGUUGUUGUAUUAACCACGUUUGAACUUAGCAACUUCAAGUUGGCAAGAAUUGUUAUUUGUGUUCUUUCCUUGAGUUUUAUACGAUAUUGUUGAAACAAACCAUGACUGUGUAUUAUAGACCAUGGAAUUCUUGCUAUACACUUUGUUUCUGAUAUAGAAAUUGUACUUGCAAUAUAGAAUCCUCUCUGAUGUCUUGCAUCAUCAUCUACUUGAGAGGAACAGGUAGCUAGCUAUAUUAUAAACCAGUUAAUGCAGAACAAAUCAGAAAGUUGCUAAUAUUUCUAACUAUAUAUAACCUGAUUCGGAAUUGUAGUUAUCUUCUUUUCUUUUUGAUUUUUUCUUUGCCUUGGAUAUUAGUUCUUGUUAUACAAUCUAAAUGACAGAUAUGGUGUUUUCUUUUUAAAAGUCAAUGGAUGAUAGCUGAUAAAUACUUUUUUUUCUACCAUAUGCUUCCGACUUCUAUUUCUUGCUAGUUGCAUACAGUAAAAUGACAAUUAUACUCCAGAAACCUAGCGAGAGGGUUUAUUUAUCAGGAACUUGAUCAGGGAAGUGGGUUGCUUUGUCCCAUAUGAGAAGAGGAUCACUGAGCUUCUGAAAGUCGCUAAGGACAACAUGAACUGAAAGUUGCAAAAAGAACGCUGGGAACUCGAGAAAGAGCCAAGAGAAGAAAGAGGAGAUGGCUGAUGUGCUUCGGGUGAUGAGGUAAUUAGCUCUGUUUUGAAUUCACAUUUAUCUGAGUUACAAGAAUUGAUUAUAUGCUGCUGAACUUUAUUUGAUAAAGGCAUAUUUAAAUGUGAUUUUAUUAUGAGGAAUAUGAGGCUGCAAUUCAAUGUUGUUUGAUUGAUGCAUAUACUUUUGUUCUUAAAUUGGGUUUGAUUAAUCGGUUUCAGUAUAUUUUCUGCUAUUAUGACUAGGUUCCGAAAUAUUUCCUGCCAUUAUAACAAAAACUGUGGUUGGCAUAAGAUAUGUCAGUGUGUUGAAUAAAAUCAACAAUUGUGACAAAAAUUUAAACUGUCAUGUAGAGAAGUGGAAUUGAUAUGCUAAUUAGCAUUAUGAAGGAUGGUAUAUACGUCCUCUUUGGUAUGAUUUUAGCCAGGUUUUGGUUCGACCAUCAGUUGUGGUUGAAAGUUAGGUGGCUAAGGCAAUCUUAGCACAUUCACGGAAUCGAUUUAGACUAGCUACUUAGUGGGAUCAAGUUUCAUGAAACAGGAUUUGCUGUGAGAAUUAAGACGAGGAAUGAAUUACGUUGGAUUGCAUUAUCAUAUUGAUCUUUUCUGAAUGUCUGAAUAUUCCAGCCUCAUACUUGUGGUUCAGAGCUUUUGGUAAGCAAGCACCUCAUCUCAAGACAGAAGCCUAUAGAAUAUGCCAGCUGCUGAUUUGUAUCUUUACCUGAAUGCUUUUCGGUCCUGAAACUUCUUUCUAUACUCAGGUCUGCUGGAGCGAGCGAUAAAACGAAAUGAUGACACCUUCUGCGACCCUUCGGAUUUUCCAUAGACAGAAUUUAGGCAGCUGGAUUGACAUCUGGUUAAAUGUUUGUUUACUUGGAGACUUCUUGCUUAGAGAUUUUUUUUUUUUUCCGUUGUUGUAGCUUUACAAAUUUCGACGAUCAUUAUCCCAUUGUUGAUGUUUUCUGCUUACUGUUCUUCGAAUCGAACAGUGGAUAAUCUAGAGUUUAUUACAUGUGCUUUGGCAUUUUGGAUCACAUCUGCUUGAUGUUCGUCGAUCGAGCACUUCAUUUUUGAGUAAUCUUAUUAUUUGAUGUUGCUAUCAUCUUCACUCCCGUUGUCGAUAUUGCUUGACAUAUUCGUGUUUCGCAGAUACAUAACAUGAAUGAAAGAAUGCCUCAGAGAGAGAAGCCGACAAAGCCAUAUACUUGACUUGCAAGGGAGCUAAAAUACAUCGCCAAUAGAUGUCGAUGACAGUUCACCGGUCAUGAGAGGACAUGUGGAUCUUCGUGGAUGUUCUCAUUCGACUAUGGCCAAAAUGUAUUAUGUCGAUCUGAGAAAAGUUAGCUUUCGCACGUCACGAAUACCGGUAAUAAUUUGAUAUUGAGUUCUAAUUUCAUUAACUGACCCAUCACAUCGUCAAAUCAAACCCAUCAAGACCUUAGCGUUAGGUUGUGGUCGCUUUACGUCGGAAGUGGAGUCAUUCAUGUGGGAUUAGGUCUGGUUGUUGGAGCGGCCGUGUAAACCCUGCCAACGCGCGGUUUGGUGUACACGUCACGGGGUUGACUAAACCGAGAAACCUGAGAACGAUGCAUCAAGUAAACAGGUCCAAGUCGAGCAAGACUUUGACUCUCGGUCAUCAAUCUCCCUCCUGCCCAGCUUGCUUCAAAUCCCUAGCCUCUUUCGAUUGCUGCUUCUGGGAAGCUAGGCGAUGGAGGAGAAGGAGAACGGAUCGAUGGUGGGAGGGGAGGCGGUGGUGCGGCGGCUGGCGGAGGCGGUGGAGGAGAUCGCUGUCAUCUCCGAGUACCGGAACGCCUACAGGAAGCCGUUGUGCAGCCUCGCUCGGCGGAUCAGGCUCCUUGCACCCAUGUUCGACGAGCUGGGGGACGGGCGCGACCCGAUCACGGAGCCGGUGGCGAGAACCCUAGCCCCGCUCGAUGACGCGUUUGCUGCCGCCAAGGACCUCCUCCGGCUCGGCAGCGAGGGGAGCAAGAUCUUCUUGGUAUGUUGGUUCGACAAGUUCCUUCGAAUUAUUGCCUUGCCAUUUUAUCCCACACGGACAUGUCUUCGAUUUCUUCAUUUUUGGCCGCGAGGUUUGUGAAAUCAGUGAGAAUUUUUGUGCUUCUACAUCCAUUGUAGCUAAAGGCUUGGUUUUGAUUUGACAAACAUGAUGUGUUAUUUAUUUUUCUUUAAGAUAGUUUACUGUUCAACUUGAAUAUGUGGGGGAAUAGUUUGAUAAACGUGUCUUCGAUUUCUUCGUAUUUGGCCGAGAGGUUUGUGAAAUCAGUGAGAAUUUUUGUGCUUCUACAUCCACUGUAGCUAAAGGUUUGAUUUUGAUUUGAUAAACAUGAUGUGUUAUUUAUUUUUCUUUAAGAUUGAAGGGGAAUAGUUUGAUAAACAUGUCUUCGAUUUGUCCAUUUUUGGCCGUGAGGUUUGUGAAAUCAGUGAGAAUUUUUGUGCUUCUACGUCCAUUGUAGCUAAAGGCUUGGUUUUGAUUUGACAAACAUGAUGUGUUAUUUAUUUUUCUUUAAGAUAGUUUACUGUUCAACUUGAAUAUGAGGGAGAAUAUCAAUUUCUGAGAUUUCCUUAAGUUGGGAGCUCAGGAGAUAUUUAGGGGUAAUUGCAACAGCCGUAAUCCCAAACUGGAAAGACAAGUAAAAAAGGUAAAGGAAACAAGAAACAACCUAACUAAUCGUUCGAUGGAAAGGAAAAUUACAUGCCAGCAGUCACUAAAGAAGUAAUCAAUUAUGUAUAUACCGAAUAUUUCCAAUGUUGGAAGUAUAAUGAUUUGUUUCCUUAGAACAAUAUUUCAGAUUGAUCGAGUUUGAUGUCUUAGAGUAUGAGUUGUUGCCGGUUGUUGUCAAUUGUUGAUGGUUCUUGUUGUCACACAACAAUGGUUAUAAUAAUUGAGGGGCAGGGUUUUUGGAAUUAUCAACAAUGAUCACGAUCAUUGAGGGAUAGGUAUUAUUUAAAGUUUAUUUUUAAACAUAAUUUAAGCAUGUGAAGAAAUCUUUCUUAAGUUGUUUCAAAAUUACUUUGUUGAACUACCUCAAAGAAACCAUCAAAUCUCAUCAUCAAAUCUCCCCCCAUCUAUGUUGCUAGCUGAGAGUCAUUUGUUCUUUCAAAGGGAACUUAUCUUACUCCAAUGGUAUUAAACCAAAAUGAUCAUGUUGACUUAUAUUCUUUCAUACAUAUUGCUACUCUGGCUAUACAAGAAUCUUAAUUGACCUAAAGUACACCAAGAACUUUUCUUGAACCAACUGAUCGGGAUCCAGAUCCCAUAAUCCUAAUUAGAUGAAUGGAGAUCAAAGUAUUUUUACUGUCCAAUUAUUAUUUUUAGUAUUAAAUGUUUUCUUUUUGCUUGUUUGCCUGCUUUCUGUAGCCCUUUGUUACCUUCACAUAUUAUCUAACAGUUUCUUGCUUGUGAUGAUAUGACAUAUACAGUUACCAGCAGUAACUUUUGCAUAUCAAGGUGGCAUGUUUUAAUUUUGCUGUGUUGAUUAGGCCAUCGUCCUCUAUAUCUAACUUGCUAAGCUUACACUUACUGUCAUGGUUGGUGUUAUUUAGCUGAUGCUUUCGGCUUCAUAGGCAUUAUUAAAUUUGCUUCUACUCUCCUGGAAAGAAAUAAAUGGAUAUUCAGAUGCUAUCUCUUGAAGAGUACUACUAUCCACUCAGUGAAGUGAAGACCUUUGGUUAUUACCUGCAAAAACUGCCAUGACCAAGACUUUAGAUUCUUGGUUUGGGAAAAUACUGCUCUGAUUCUUUUUACUUGGAUGCUUAGAUGCAUAAUAUGAUUGCCACUUUGGGUUUGAAUGUAACUUUUUUGCAUGGACAUUGCCUCAUGUGAUCAGGUCCUAGAGAGGGAGAAGAUGAUCAAAAGAUUUCAUGACGUAAUUUCUCAAAUAGAUCAAGCUUUGGAUGGGAUUUCCUUUGAUAAACUUGAAAUAUCAGAAGAAGUUAGAGAACAGGUACAGUCACCAGAAAACAAUAACUUACUACUGUAAGUUUAAUUCAUUAGCAUAUAAUUUCUAUUUGAAGAACUCAAACUUAUAGGGUAAAGAGAACCAAAUUUGAUUUUCUUAAUGCUGUGCCUAAUAAGAAACAUUAUGUGUAGAUUGAGUUGGUACAUGCUCAAUUCAAAAGAGCCAAAGAACGAGAUGACAUGCCCGAUGCUGAGUUGUAUUCUAAUCUCUUAUCUCUAUACAACAAGAGCAAUGAUGCCAUUUUAGAUCCAUAUACUUUAGAAAGAUUGGCAGAACAAUUACAGCUAGUCACCAUCUGUGAUCUUACACAAGAAUCAUUAGCUUUGCAUGAGAUGGUCUUUGCAAGCGGUGGAGAUCCUGGAGAAAACAUUGAAAAGAUGUCAAUGUUGUUAAAGAAGAUAAAAGAUUUUGUGCAGACCCAGAACCCUGAGAUGGGCACUCGCUCAGAUUCAAAGCCUUUCCUGUUGGAUGGAAAGCCAAAAGUUCCUAUUGUUCCUGAUGAUUUCCGCUGUCCAAUCUCACUGGAGUUGAUGAAAGAUCCAGUCAUUGUGGCCACUGGGCAGGUAUCUGUUGAACUCUCAGUUUUCUUCUAUUAUUAUGAAAGGUUAGGUGGUGCUGUCUUUGCAUUACAUUUACAGAUGAUUUUCUUAUCUAUAUGCAGACUUAUGAGCGGACAUGCAUCGAAAAGUGGCUGGCGUCUGGCCAUGACACUUGUCCAAAAACUCAACAGAGGCUAUCUAAUGCAUCAUUAACUCCAAACUAUGUCCUUCGGAGCCUCAUAGAACAGUGGUGUGAAGCCAAUGGCAUGGAUCCACCCAAGUGCCCAUCCCGAUCUACUAAUCCCAGCUCAGCUUGCUCGUCACGUGAACUUGCUAAUAUAGAUGCACUUCUCUGCAAGUUAUCCUCCCCAAAUCUUGAUGACCAACUAGCAGCUGCUGGAGAGCUUCGUCUGCUGGCUAAGCGGAAUGUUGACAACCGCAUUUGCAUAGCUAAGGCUGGUGCUAUUCCCCUCCUCAUAAAUCUACUCUCAUCCAAAAAUUUAUGCACCCAGGAGCAUGCCGUCACUGCCCUUCUGAAUCUUUCCAUCCAUGAUGACAAUAAAGCAAUAAUAAUCUCUUCAGGGGCCAUACCUGGUAUCGUCCAUGUUCUAAGAGAUGGUAGCAUGGAAGCACGGGAGAAUGCUGCAGCGACACUCUUUAGUCUUUCAGUGGUGGAUGAAUAUAAGGUGACCGUCGGGGCAUCAGGGGCGAUCCCUGCAUUGGUGUCACUGCUGAGUGAAGGCACACACAGAGGGAAGAAAGAUGCGGCAACAGCACUGUUUAAUCUGUGCAUAUACCAAGUGAACAAGGGGAAGGCAGUGAGGGCAGGUGUGGUUCCACUAGUUAUGGGGCUUCUUACAGAACCUGCAGAGUCUAUGUUGGAUGAAUCUAUGGCAAUAUUGGCCCUACUGUCAAGCCACCCGGAAGGGAAAUCUGCGAUUGCAGCUGCUCAGGCUGUCCCUCUGCUGGCGGAGAUGACAGCAAAUGGUUCUCCCAGGAACAGAGAGAAUGCUGCAGCUACUCUGCUCAAUCUUAGCGACGGAGAGCAGCAGCUUGGUACCAUGGCUGCAGCACAGGAAUGUGGGAUAAUGGGACCACUGCAAGAAUUGGCCAUCAGUGGCACAGAACGGGGGAAGAGGAAAGCCGUGCAGUUGCUAGAGCGCAUGAAUGGAUUCUUGGUGCAGCAGCAUGAGGCAUAUGCUCAAGCUGAGGCUUCAACCCAGACUCAAGGUCACAUCCAUGCUCAGAGUGAGCCAAGAAUGAAUGUGGCCUCUGCGGAUUCUGUUGACACCUAGCUUUUUCUUCAUUGGGAGGUUGUGAUAUGCGUAUCAGAACAUUUUGCCUGCUAAUGCUUUGUGGCUUUUGCAAUUAUGUGUAAACAAAGAGCACGAGUUUUUAACAUUGAGCUGUAAAUGUAUCAUCAAUCACAUGGUUGUAUGUGGAAAAUGACUUCCAUUUGGUUUGUGGACUUGUAAGUUUGCUAAAGUACGAGAACACUGAUAUGUUAAAAUGGAUAGUUGCAGAUUCAAAAGCUUCAGCUCUUGUUUUCUUAGAGAAUUCAUGAAUUAUAGCAGGACAUCUCUUUGGCGGAUACUGGAAAUGAAGUAGUAUCAUAUAUUAACUUACAUGCUUCAGCAUCAUGGAAUCUGAUACCAUGUGGUGUCAUGGCUGUGAUUGAGCUCAUGUGAGGCAACGUGAGCCAACUCGGAUUUGCAGGGCCUCCUGUUUAACCUUUCCUGCUUCGGCUGCUAAUUGAAGAAGCGAGACCGACAUCAAAUAUUCUUAGGACACCCCUUUAACUAAAAGCUAAAGCUGCCUUCCUUCUGCUGUGUGUGUGUGUGGGGUGAGGAUAAACCAGGAAGGGUAAUCUCUCUAUCUUUGCCAAAGUUCUUCAUGGACUUUGAUUGCUUGCUUUAUUCUCUCCAACAGAGACUGCAUUGGACUUGUUGAAAGCAGACGAAAACCCAGAUUCCCAAGGACACAGUCGGGGAAGCAAAGAGAAAUUUUCUGGGGAUUUCACCUUUUCCUUUUUUUUUCCUCGUCUCUACUGCUGUAAUAUAUACAUACACAUAUAUCCUCUUCCUCUUUUUCAUUGUUUCAGUGAUUGUGUCCUUCCCCGGACCAGCCUUCUUGGUCUUAGGCUACUCUAAAAACCCACUUCUUUUGGCUGCAUGGAAUUCGAUGAGAUCUCGGCUUUCAAUCCCGCUGCUCUCUCUCUCUCUCUCUCUCUAGUCCUUGAGAAGUUGCGUGGAAGUUGCAUCCAUAGGUGUGCAGUAUUAAAGUGCAAGCAAACGAAGAAAAGGAUAUGAUUAUGGAGUUCUUUCCAUUCGAUGCAUGACCAAUGACCAUAUCUUACAGCAUAUUCCGAGAUAAAGUGCUUGUCGCCUUGUCCCUCCCACGGUUGAUGUUCCUGGAUCGCACAGCUCGUGUACAACAUGUGAAAAGAAUGAAACAUGACCAUCCAAACCUACAGAAUUCAAAGACUAAAACUCUUUGAACGGGAGUUUGAAUUCCCAGCGAACACGAACGACAUAGGUUAUUCCCUGUUAGAGAUUUGAUGUUUGACGAUAAAUACAUGCAAUUGAAAGAUGGUAGAACAGUCAAAAGAUGAGCUCCAGAGUUCUGGAAAUCUAAUGGUAAGGUCAACAUGCCUGACGGCCGAGUUCUUUAGCUGUCACUGCAGCUAUCAUAGAUUUAUAUGCUCUUCAGCCUCAAGAUCAAGAAAGAUCAAGAGCACGUCGUAGUAAUUGAAUUUUAGGUGCCCCUACUGAUAUAUGUCUUUUGGAGAUUAUUGCCUACACAUGCUUCAAUUUUCAGGUAUAUAGAUACUAAGUCGUAGGGGAGAGAGAGAGAGAGAGAGAGAGAGAAUGACCAGUGAUACUGUUAUGGCAACAGAUCUUACAUAUAGCUGAAGGACAAAAGAUUACUAAUCGUCUCAUCUUCACUCCAUGUUAAGUUGACACUCUGAUCACGACAAUGGCAGAAAGAAACAACAGGAGGUGAGAUGAAUGAAAAGAACAAACUCUAACAAGUGGACUAAGAACAAGGCUGUAAUUGCUAGAUGUGGUCAGGAUUGAUGAACAAAGCAAAAGAACAAUCUCUAUCAGAUGGCAGGUCUGACAGUAAUGAUGCGAGUAGAUUUCCACCCGAGCCAAUCAAGCGCAUUACUGUGGUUGCAAGCUCGUGUCAGAGACACCACCAUCUUGAAAUGGCAAGAAACAAGGGAGGAAAGAAGAAGCACAGAGUAGAUUCAAAAGGAUACACUAUCCUACAGUUAAACAUGUUCUUCAGCAUGCAGCCACUCUCUGAGUUCUUUCAUUUUGAUCAUGAAGAGAAGAUGGGAGACUAACCAAGCGCAAUGGCAAGAUUUGAGCUUCCAAGGCUUAUGGGUAGAGCGAAGGAGUCGAGCCAUGGACUGGAAAUUACAAGACGUUGCCUGAUGAGGAAGAGUUGAAAGCUGAAAGAUCUGUGGCCCAAUCUCCACUGCUGUCGCAUGCCACCCCUGUCACCACCAAUUCCAGUAUUGCUCGUUUCCCGGAAGACCUAAAUAGUGCCUUGGCAGGUUGAGACUCUGAGGGUUGUCUUCCAUCUUCACCGGUGACAGCUGCGUGAUCAGUGAAGAGCCUGAAAGCUUCGGAAAGACUCGGCCUGCAGUGCUAUCCCUCUCGCCUUCUCUGUUGACAUGGAACAGCCCAGGCAUCAGUUGCACCGCAGGCGGCUGUGGUGGCUCCGAUCCUCCCAGAAGAUGCAAUUGCUGGAUCUGCGGCAGCCUCCACUGCUCGAUGCCGACGCUCGAAUUACUUCCCACGUGGUAGUCAGGUGCGUCCAUGGGAGGAAGUCCUGGAAAGUUGAGGCCCAGAUUUGAGGCGUCAUAGUCGGCCAGACCGUGCAUGGAGGCCAAGAAGGGCAACUGGCCCGGCUGGGGUAUGCUUGGUGGGAUAGCACCGCCGGCACCGGUGGCCAUGCACGACGAGGAUGAGGUGCCAUCCUGACGGUCGGCUGUGGAGGCGGUGGCAGUCGAUUUCGAGGAGCUCCCGGAAGACUUAUUCCGCUUGUUGCGGCGGCAGCCCCCCCCCACAGGAACGUUUCGGAGAGCGCCGCCUCGGGUCCAGUAGCGUCGACAGGUCUUGCAGAAGUGGCGGGGCUGCGAGAGGGAGUAAUUGUUGAAGUAGCAGAACUUGGUGUUGGUGGAGUCGCACCGCGGGCACUUGAGCGGAUGCUCGGGCAGCUGGACGAUCUUCGCCACGCGUGCUCGUUCCGUCAUGGAGAGAGGCCUGGAUGAGCCUGCAGCUGCUGCACCAGCUUCCGGCGGCGGUCCUGCCAGCCCCGGAGGGAGCAAAGGAGCCUCACCGCCUCCACCGGCAGCGGCUGGAAGCUGAAGCUGUCGUUGCUAAGCAUGCCAGAUAGGG
rnacentral:lncRNA from 1 species